rnacentral:rRNA from 1 species
UGGGGAAUAUUGGACAAUGGGCGCAAGCCUGAUCCAGCCAUGCCGCGUGUGUGAAGAAGGCCUUAUGGUUGUAAAGCACUUUAAGCGAGGAGGAGGCUACUUUAGUUAAUACCUAGAGAUAGCGGACGUUACUCGCAGAAUAAGCACCGGCUAACUCUGUGCCAGCAGCCGCGGUAAUACAGAGGGUGCAAGCGUUAAUCGGAUUUACUGGGCGUAAAGCGCGCGUAGGCGGCUAAUUAAGUCAAAUGUGAAAUCCCCGAGCUUAACUUGGGAAUUGCAUUCGAUACUGGUUAGCUAGAGUGUGGGAGAGGAUGGUAGAAUUCCAGGUGUAGCGGUGAAAUGCGUAGAGAUCUGGAGGAAUACCGAUGGCGAAGGCAGCCAUCUGGCCUAACACUGACGCUGAGGUGCGAAAGCAUGGGGAGCAAACAGG